rnacentral:rRNA from 1 species
AUUGAACGCUGGCGGCAGGCUUAACACAUGCAAGUCGAGCGGGGGAAGGUAGCUUGCUACCGGACCUAGCGGCGGACGGGUGAGUAAUGCUUAGGAAUCUGCCUAUUAGUGGGGGACAACAUCUCGAAAGGGAUGCUAAUACCGCAUACGUCCUACGGGAGGAAGCAGGGGAUCUUCGGACCUUGCGCUAAUAGAUGAGCCUAAGUCGGAUUAGCUAGUUGGUGGGGUAAAGGCCUACCAAGGCGACGAUCUGUAGCGGGUCUGGGAGGAUGAUCCGCCACACUGGGACUGGGACACGGCCCAGACUCCUACGGGAGGCAGCAGUGGGGAAUAUUGGACAAUGGGGGGAACCCUGAUCCAGCCAUGCCGCGUGUGUGAAGAAGGCCUUAUGGUUGUAAAGCACUUUAAGCGAGGAGGAGGCUACUCUAGUUAAUACCUAGGGAUAGUGGACGUUACUCGCAGAAUAAGCACCGGCUAACUCUGUGCCAGCCGCCGCCGUAA